AAUACUUGGUAGGGCAAGCAAUAAAGCAGACUACCUAAGACUUAGCAUCUUCUUUAGAAUACAAUGAUAGCUCUAAUGACUGCUUACUGUUCAUGCUCAUAAAACAUAAGUUCUCAAUAUCAAUGGAAAAUAUGACACAGGAAGGUGGCUAGAUAAGUAACUACAUCAGGCAGCCUUCCUCUUCAGAGAGAAGAGCAAGCAACAGAAAGAUAGAGAGAGAGACCAGAGAGAGAGACAGCCCUCCUAAUGAGAGUAGAGUAUGAGGAACAGGCUUCUCAAAUUACAGCAAGGGGGGAAAGAACAAAGCUUUAUAUUCAGGAUUACAGUCGUACAGUGUAAAUUUAUGAUGAUCAGUGUUAAUUUACACAUCAAAUAGAGUCCAGUCAUCUAUUUCAUUUCUUUUUAAUUUUAAUAUAAAAUGUAAAGACUUAUGGAAUACCAUCUUAAAGUACAUGCCCAAAUCUCAUGAGAGGUUUAUCACCUUUUCUCCAAUAAUAGUCACAGCUAUUGGCAACACACAAUUAUACUGUUUGUUAGCAGUUACACAUAUUGGUUUAGGCCCUCAAAGCAACUAUAGAUGGAACAACUAUGCUACUGUCCAUCUAGGCUGCAUUAACAAGUUUACUUGAUAUGGCUGGUCAAGUGUCAGUUUUGUGUUGUCUGUCGCCAAGACAGCCCUUUAUCAGAGUCACUUAUCAAGAUGACAAACAGGAGGGUUAAAGCUUGACCCAUAUUCUAGUCAUUGAACAUUUCCUUUAAAAGCAAGAAGAUCAGCAAGGAUUUUCAUAAACACGCAUCUAAACAAACACCUGUUGCCAAAGUCCCUGCUAAUUUUAACUUACUGACUCAAGGCUGGUCUUCUCAGAGGCCUCACAAUGGCAUUUGUUCUGAUUCUCUGGAACUGCUUCACACAUGCAAUUUCCUUCCUACCAGGGGUGCUCUGGGUAAGACUGAGUUCUUUAGGGAAUAAAAGAUGCAUAGCACAUGCACAUACUUACGGAACUCAUGACUAAUGAGUUGUACAUAAUAUAGAGUUCUGUUUUUACUAAAGAAGUCAUGACCUAUGAUUAUCUGGUUCCCCUUGAACAAAAGUGUUUACAUUGUGUUUGGUUUGUAAAAUAGCUCUACUCUUUCAUUGCUAGGAAAAUAAAAACACAUGUAAAUAUAUUUUUCCCUGGCAGGCAGAGGAGGAAAGGCAAGAUGAAAGAUCACAUUUCCCUUUGUGACACCACUGGAAGUAUCUGACCAAAGCAGCGCGAUUGGAGAGCUCAGGUUUAAACAAACAACAAAACCUAGCAUUCUUUAUCCUGGCCAUGUACUCCGCCCUGGCCUGACUCCUCGGUCAUCACUGGGUCAGUAAGGCCAGCAAGAGACAGUAGCUGUAGGCUCUAAACAGGACACGGUCCCAUGCCAUUGUCUCUUUGUUCUUUGCUGAAUUAUCAGCUGCACAACUCACUUUUGAUCUGUUACCCCCUUGCUCACUUCUUUGCCUUUUUGCCUGUAAUCCCCAAACUCAAGGAACCGUGAGAUCAUGCAAUUGGCAGCAUAGAAUGUGGCUCAGUGAAAUGGACACAUUCUUGAAAAGGAAUAAAUCCUAGGAUAAUAAACUACUUCAAAUAUCAUUAUUAAAAUGUGCACCACUGAGUCUAAGGGAUGCAAAGUAUCAUAUUUUAUUGGUGAAAUCAGUGGUGUUCAAUGUAAGUAGUUGGUUAAAACGAUUUGGGAGAUCCCCAUGUAAUAACAUUACUGUAGGGUUGAGGUCUAGCACCCCACUGUGCAUCCUUCUACUUCAAUAAUGACUUUGACACCUGACUCAACUAGAAGGUCCCUUAAUCCUGCCUUAAGAAUGUCUCUGCAUUUGGUUCAGAGCAAAUUUUCAAUAUAAAACACUAGCCUGUGGGCAGAAGGUUUAGCCAUCCCUGAGCUAUGAGAAGAGACUGCAUGAAAAUUUUGUGACGACCUGACAAAAUUAUUCAUACUUUAGCAGAAUUUAGGAUGGGUGUUGCUUUCAAUGUACACACUCAUUGGUGGCAAUCUCAACAUUGUGGAGGUGGGGACAUAAAAUCUACUUAUCUCUGACCAUUGGAGGCUAGAGAAAUGUAUCAGAAUAAUCUAACUACAGUUAUGUGCCACAUAAAGAUGUUUUGGUCAAUGAGGACCUCAUAUAUAAAGGUGGUCCCAUAGACUAUAAUACCCUAUUUGUAUUGCACCUUGUCUAUGUUUAGAUAUGUUUAGAUACAUAAAUACUUACAUUUGUGCUACAAUUUCCUACAAUAUUUAGCACAGUAACAUGCUGUACAGAACUGUAGCCUAGUAGCACCAGGCCAUACCAUAUAGCCUAGGUGUGUAGUAGGCGAUUCCAUUGAGGUUUUUCUAAGUACACUGUAUGAUGUUUGCACAAUGACAAAAUUGCCUAAGGAUGCAUUUCUUAGAAUGUACUCCUGUCCUUAAGUAAUGUAUGACUGCAUUACUAAAUGGCUAAAUUUCCUUAGGUCAGUCACAAAAGCUAUUUCACUCACAGCAUUCUGCUGAGAAACCUAAAAUGAAAUUACUUUUGUUUACUUCAACAAGCCACACCACUCUUCUGAUAACAGACCUUUCUUCUUUCCGGGAGCCAGAGUUGCUCCCCUAAUAGUCCAUGUGGUUGAGAUGUCCCUGACCCCAAUCCCAGAGUCAGGUUUCUGCAGACAACCACCAGAGUACAGGAUCCUGCCUGGUCCAAUCAGAGGCAACCCCAGAAGUAUUGCUAGAACAAUUAGUAGACAAGAGCACUAGAAGUGCAGGAACUAAGGGCAUAACUCUACUGGGUCACAGAGAAAAGAGGAGUAGAGAAAAGGAGAAAGACGUUCUCAUGUAGUCAUUUUGACUCAAGACAACCUAAUGACAGUAAUACCCUGAAACAUUUCUGUCACAUGCACCACAUAAGCUAGAUUUGAGGUGUGUUUCUAUCACUAGAAACUGAAAGAGAGGCCGGGCGCGGUGGCUCACGCUUGUAAUCCCAGCACUUUGGGAGGCCGAGGCAGGCGGAUCACGAGGUCAGGAGAUCGAGACCGCAGUGAAACCCCGUCUCUACUAAAAAUACAAAAAAAUAUUAGUGGGGCGUGGUGGCGGGCGCCUGUAGUCCCAGCUACUCGGAGAGGCUGAGGCAGGAGAAUGGCGUGAACCCGGGAGGCAGAGCUUGCAGUGAGCCGAGAUCGCGCCACUGCACUCCAGCCUGGGCGACAGAGCGAGACUCUGUCUCAAAAAAAAAAAAAAAAAAGAGUACUAACGAACGCAUCUCGCCCUUAUCCUGACCCCCGAGGCUUACAAAAUGAAAUUCCAAUUUGGCAUACCAGCUUUUUUCCAGUAAAACAUAAACUGAAGCCACUCAACAACUUUAUCUCUCACAAAUGUUGGGAACUCAAUCUCAGUUUGCUCACCAUUGCUUGAAAAAGCCAUGAGUGUUGAAACCUUGCUUGCUCUUGUUGCUUUUCCUUAGGAUAUAUGUUCCUGUGUAAAUUCUGGUUCUAAAGACACUGUAGAAAGUGCAUCUCCUUUCUCAAGUCUUCUCAACCAUCGCUCCUCUCCUGAGAACUUCAAUUUCCUCCUCAAACACGGUGAGGCUUUUAUGGUAUACAGACAUAAGUAUUGUUUAAAGCAAACCCUACACAAAUAGCGUAACCACAGCACUUUGUACAGAUUAACUUUUUGUGCUGUAAAGAUGAACGAGCAGGGCAAGUCAGAGACAGAGGACUAGUUAGAAGUCUGUCACAGGAAUCCUACAGUGAAAUGACAAGGGCCUGUCUCAAAAAGUGACAGUAGAAAUGAGAAGAAGGAAUAGAUAUAAGAAGAAGGGGGAAUUGACAAGGUUAGUGACAGAUUGACCAAGUGGUUCAGAUGGCUUAAAAAAGAUAUAGUAGCAAAAAUCAGCUCUGAAUCUUGUCCCAUUGUCACCCUGAUAUAACCAUACCAGCCUCGAAACUAAAAUUUCAUAUGUUGAUGGACACUAAAUUACAAAUUUCCUUCAAGGAAACAAAUGGUUGGAGUUAGCAAUAGAAACAUACAGAUCUGUGUCUUUAUUUUUAUUAUGUUAAUAACUUUGUUAUUGCCAAAUAAAGUAGGCACUUUGCAUGAAUUAGUAUAAAAUAAUAUAUAAGAAGGGCAAUAAUAUUUGAGAUAUGAACAUGCAUAUUUAUUAUUUCAAACCUAGGGGAUGUACUACAAUAACAGACUAGAAUAUGGCAUAUGGCAUACAUAUAUAUGAUACACAUAUAAGUAUAUAUUUAAACAGAGAGAAAUGUAUUAACUGGUUCUAAAAAUUAAUUUAUAGUAGUAUGUUUGGGGUAUAUGCAAAUAUUUGCAAGAGUCAUUGCAAACAUUUUUAGGAAAAAUAUUAACAAAAAGUAUUUAGGGAAGAAUUCAUCUGUCGGAAUUACGUAAGAAUUGGAAAUGAUAGGGUUUUCCUUUCUGUUUUGUUUUGUUUUUUGAGACAGAGUCUCACUCUGUUGCUCAGGCUGGAGUGCAAUGGCGAGAUCUCAGCUCACUGCAACCUCCGCCUCCCAGAUUCAAGCGAUUCUCCCACCUCAGCCUCCCAAGUAGCUGGGAUUACAGGUGUGCGCCACCACGUGUGGCUAAUUUUUGUAUUUUUAGUAAAGACAGUGUUUCACUAUCUUGACCAAGCUGGUCUCAAACUCCCGAACUCAAGUGAGUCACCUGCCUCAGCCUCCCAAAGUGCUGGGAUUACAGAUGUGUGUCACUGCACUCGGCCAGGUUUUCCUUUCCUUUACCUGAAAAUUCUUUUUUUUUUUUUUUUUUUUUGAGACAGAGUCUCUCUCCGUCACCAGACUGGAGUGCAGUGGUGCGAUCUCAGCUCACUGCAACCUUCACUUCCCAGGUUCAAGCAAUUCUCCUGCCUCAGCCUCCCAAGUAGCUGGGAUUACAGAUGCGUGCCACCACGCCCAGCUAAUUUUUCUAUUUUUAGUAGAGACGGGGUUUCACCAUGUUGGUCAGGCUGGUCUCGAUCUCGUGACCUCAUGAUCCACCCGCCUCAGCCUCCCAAAGUGCUGUGAUUACAGGCAUGAGCCACCACGCCCGGCCUGAGCCACCGCGCCUGGCCUUUUUUUUUUGUUAUUAUUACUUUUUUUUAAAACUACACUUUAAGUUCUAGGGUACAUGUGCACAAUGUACAGGUUUGAUACAUAGGUAUACAUGUGCCAUGUUGGUUUGCUGCACCCAUCAACUCAUCAUUUACCUUAGGUAUUUUUCCUAAUGCUGUACCUCCCCCCUCCUCCCACCACCCAACAGGCCCCGGUGUGUGGUGUUCCCUGCCCUGUGUCCAAGUGUUCUCAUUGUUCAAUUCCCACCUAUGAGUGAGAACAUGUGGUGUUUGGUUUUCUGUCUUUGUGAUAGUUUGCUGAGAAUGAUGGUUGGAUGAAACUGGAAACCAUCAUUCUCAGCAAACUGAAAAUUCUUUUAAUCUUUAAGUUCACCUUUGAAACAAAGCAGUUGAUCGGUUUCAGUUAUUUCAUUUCCUCUCCCCUUUCCUGUCUGGCUUCCCUCUUCCUUCCCCACCCUCCCUCUUUUCUUCUGAACUUCUCUCCUCAGCAUUUUAUGACUGGCCAGGAAUUACUCAGGUAAGUUAUAUUCUUUCUCAUAAAUAUAUUUGAGUGAUUCAGGCUGCAUUCUCUUUACUGAAGAUCUAUCCUGUAAACAAAUAUUUUUGAAUGAAAGGAUCUGAUUCUGAUGUGUUCUUAAUCCAAAUGAACAGUACCACAGAUAUUUUAUCUAGAUGGCUACAGUAAACCCUAAAAUCAGACUUGAGAUCAGAAUAGCAUUCAGAUACUUUUCCCCAAGAUAUUAAAAGUGGUUCAUAUCCAAGUUUGGAAAAUCAUUCAUUCAAUAAAGUUAGUGACUAAGAAAAUAAUUAGCACAUGCUAUUACUUGCUUUGGAAUUAGCUCGAUAUUUUAGUCCAGACAAAUUAUGGAACAUGCACACAAAAAUCCAAAUGUUCUCUUUGUGUACUUUUAGCUCUAGUUGGUAUUAUAAUUUUCUAUGUCAAUUUCUAGUCUAGUGUCUGCAUUCUGUCUUUAAAGUCUGGCAAUCUGGUCUGAUACUGAUCCUUGCCCCACUGAUACUUAAGCAUGUACUCUGUAUUUCCCAUUGCAGAGCUCCAUUCACCUGUUGAGAUCCUUGCUGCCCCACCUUGAGCCCCUGCAGCUGUUUUGCUGCUCUGAGAAUGCAGUGCCCUUUGUUCACUGUCUUCAUCCCCUCUGUAGCUCUGAUAUCAACAGGCCAUGGUUACAGGCAACUCUGUUCCCCCAAAACCUCAUUGGCUUGGCCUUAUACAUUAUAUUUUAGGUCACUCCCACUCACUUUGCCAUACAGUUCUGUAUUAUGUGUACAAAAUUCCAUGUCUUAUUAAUGGCCCCAGAAUUAAAACAUCACAGUACCAGACACACAUUAAGCACUCCAUUCAAAAGCAUUUGGUGAAGAAUUUGCAUUCCAUCAACAAGUUCUGAACAAGUUUGACAUUACCAAAGAUGAGGACAUGAAAUGGUAAAAGAUGAUGGUACCAUCAAAGGUGAAAUAUGAGUUCUUUCAUGUUGAGUUUAACGAUCUGUAUGCAUAUAUAGCCAUGGAAAGAGUAUUAUAUCUAAUAUUAAAAUAUAUAAGAUGGUCCCACAUUACCAGGAAUGCUUUUUAGAAAAAAUAAUGCACAUGGUAAGUAUCCAAACAAUGUCACUAAUGUGUAAGUCUAUGAAAAUGUGACUCCAGAUUUUUAUCUACAUCCCCAAUGUUACCACUUUCUGGUAGAUGACUAACAAUAAAAUGAAUGUUUUGUUCUUUUUGUUCAUUUUGUUCUUUUAACUUAUAAACAUCGUAUCUGUAAAGAAGAAUAGUUGCAUUGUCUGCUCUGGUUAAGAAGAGAUAUCAGAAUUAUCUUCUGAGGAAUGAAAGGGAUGCUGUGGGAGGGGAGGUCUAACCAUGAAUUUAUUUUACCUGCUUGGCUAACACAAUGCUCCAAAUGGAGCCAGUCAUCCUUGUGUUUUUAUAACUCACAUUAGAACUUAAGUUGGUUCAGCAUGCCAGCAGAGCUUUGCUCAAAGCUCAGAACACAGUGUGGGCAGUUCAAAGCUUGCCAAAGUCUAUUUAUAAACCAUGCGAAGCACAUCCUCAGGGUUUGUGAAUUCAAGUACAGUAUAAUACUGCAAGGGUUGUCAGCUCUUUCUCACUAAAUGAUAUUUUUCAAGAUUACUCUUCUCUUUAAUUCUUUUUUGCAAUAAAGGCGUAAAAGAAAGUUAGCACUUUCUUUUGAAUGGAGCAUGUUAAAUGAGAAUGAGUGCCAUCGCCAGGCCAGGUUUCCAACUACCUUAAAUAGAGUAAAGAAGGUGGAGAUCA